rnacentral:rRNA from 1 species
UACGUAGGGUGCGAGCGUUAAUCGGAAUUACUGGGCGUAAAGCGCGCGUAGGCGGCCUUGCAAGUUAGAGGUGAAAGCCCGGAGCUCAACUCCGGAACUGCCUUUAAAACUGCAUAGCUUGAAUCCGGGAGAGGUGAGUGGAAUUCCGAGUGUAGAGGUGAAAUUCGUAGAUAUUCGGAAGAACACCAGUGGCGAAGGCGGCUCACUGGCCCGAUACUGACGCUGAGGCACGAAAGCGUGGGGAGCAAACAGG